GCACUGGGUCUCCUUGUUCAUCUUCAAGAGGAAGACAAGGUUGGUCUCACAUGUGCCCCAACAUGGCCCAGCAGUGGGGAGUAGGAGAAGGGACGUGGGGAAAGGGAGAGAGACGGUGACAGGACUUCAAGGGGGGAACCUUAACAACUAUCAGGCAUUAGAGAACUCACAGCACACACUGUCUGCAGAGAGGAGAGACAAGUGUGGCCAUGACCACCUGCAGAGAACACUUCAGCAUGGAGCUGUUUCAGGCUCAGGGAUCACCAAAGCUGUUCCCCAUGGCAGGGCUGUCCUUCUCCAUCCCCUCUGAGGAGCUGUGCAGGAUGAGC